UCCGGUUGAUCCUGCCAGAGGCCGCUGCUAUCCGGCUGGGACUAAGCCAUGCUAGUCUAGGGGCUUGUACCCCUUCGGGGGUGCAAGCACCGGCGGACGGCUCAGUAACACGUGGACAACCUGCCCUCGGGUGGGGGAUAACCCCGGGAAACUGGGGCUAAUCCCCCAUAGGUGAUGGGUGCUGGAAUGCCCCAUCUCCGAAAGCGCUCAGCGCCCGAGGAUGGGUCUGCGGCGGAUUAGGUAGUUGGUGGGGUAACGGCCCACCAAGCCUAAGAUCCGUACGGGCUGUGGGAGCAGGAGCCCGGAGAUGGACCCUGAGACAAGGGUCCAGGCCCUACGGGGCGCAGCAGGCGCGAAACCUCCGCAAUGCGGGAAACCGCGACGGGGUUAGCCGGAGUGCCCGUGCAUUGCACGGGCUGUCGGGGUGCCUAAACAGCACCCCAUAGCAAGGGCCGGGCAAGGCCGGUGGCAGCCGCCGCGGUAAGACCGGCGGCCCGAGUGGCGGCCACUCUUAUUGGGCCUAAAGCGUCCGUAGCCGGCCCAGUAAGUCCCCCGGGAAAUCUGGUCGCUUAACGAUCAGACUUUUGGGGGAUACUGCUGGGCUAGGGACCGGGAAAGGCCGAGGGUAUUCCCCGGGGUAGGGGUGAAAUCCUGU
rnacentral:rRNA from 1 species